GCAAGGGCCGACGGGAACGGCGGCCGCACUAAAGAGGGCCGACAUGGCGGCGGCGGCGGCGGCUUCGCUUCGCCGAUCGGUGCUAGGCCCGCGGGGCAUGGGGCUUCCAGGUGCAAGUGCUCCGGGCCUGCUGGGCGGCGCGCGGCCCCGGCAUCUUCCAUUACGGACACCGCAGGCAGUGUCCUUGUCCUCGAAGUCUGGCCCUUCUCGAGGCCGAAAGGUGAUGCUGUCAGCGUUGGGCAUGCUGGCAGCAGGGGGUGCAGGGCUAGCUGUGGCCCUUCAUUCGGCGGUGAGUGCCAGUGACCUGGAGCUGCACCCCCCCAGCUACCCAUGGUCUCACCGUGGCCUCCUCUCCUCCUUGGACCACACCAGCAUUCGUAGGGGUUUCCAGGUAUACAAGCAGGGAAGCUGUCUGACUAUUUUCCAAAACCAUACCCCAACCCUGAGGCUGCAAGAGCUGCUAACAAUGGAGCUUUACCCCCUGACCUCAGCUACAUCGUUCGAGCAAGGCACGGUGGUGAGGACUAUGUGUUUUCCUUGCUCACUGGCUACUGUGAACCUCCCACUGGGGUGUCAUUGCGAGAAGGCCUCUAUUUCAACCCUUACUUUCCUGGCCAGGCCAUUGGCAUGGCUCCUCCCAUCUACACAGAAGUCUUGGAGUAUGACGAUGGUACCCCAGCUACCAUGUCACAAGUAGCCAAGGAUGUUGCCACCUUCCUUCGCUGGGCAUCAGAGCCAGAGCAUGACCAUCGAAAACGCAUGGGACUCAAGAUGUUGUUGAUGAUGGGCUUGCUGCUGCCCCUGACCUAUGCCAUGAAGCGGCAUAAGUGGUCAGUCCUGAAGAGUCGAAAGCUGGCUUAUCGGCCACCCAAGUGACCCUGUUCAGUAUCUGCUUGUCAUCUUGCCUGAACAAGCUCUCAGCAGACCAGGAACAGUCCGAGGCCUUUCAGGCCUGGCCCCUUUUCAUCAGAUACCAGGGCCAGGAGACCAGACUCUUGCUUCUGAUCUUCCUUUAGCCUUCAUUGUGGGAAUAAAUUAAGUUUCUCAACACACAC
rnacentral:lncRNA from 1 species